rnacentral:rRNA from 1 species
AUUUUAAAUCUGGCGGUCUUCAUGGUCGUCCGAGUUGUAAUCUAGAGAAGCGUCUUCCGCGCUGGACCGUGUACAAGUCUCCUGGAAGGGAGCAUCAUAGAGGGUGAGAAUCCCGUCUUUGACACGGACGACCAAGUGCUAUGUGAUGCGCUCUCGAAGAGUCGAGUUGUUUGGGAAUGCAGCUCAAAACGGGUGGUAAAUUCCAUCUAAAGCUAAAUAUGGGCGAGAGACCGAUAGCGAACAAGUACCGUGAGGGAAAGAUGAAAAGAACUUUGGAAAGAGAGUUAAACAGUACGUGAAAUUGCUGAAAGGGAAACGCUUGAUGUCAGUCGCGUCCGCCAGGGAUCAACCUUGCUUUAUCGCUGGGCGCAUUUCUUGGUCGGACGGGUCAGCAUCAGUUUCCAUCGUCGUAUAAUGGCGGAGGGAACGUGGCACCUCUAGGGGUGUGUUAUAGCCUUCGGUCGUAUGCGUCGGUAGGGGACUGAGGAACUCGGCACGACCUUUUCUUCAGGUCUGUGUCUAGGAUGCUGGCAUAAUGGCCUUAAGCGACCCGUCUUGAAACACGGACCAAGGAGUCUAACAUGCCUGCGAGUGUUCGGGUGGUAAAACUCGAGCGCGCAAUCAAAGUGAAAGUCGAGAUCUCUGUCGUGGAGAGCAUCGACGCCCGGACCAGAGUCUUUGACGAAGGAUCUGCGGUAGAGCAUGCAUGUUGGGACCCGAAAGAUGGUGAACUAUGCCUGAAUAGGGUGAAGCCAGAGGAAACUCUGGUGGAGGCUCGUAGCGAUUCUGACGUGCAAAUCGAUCGUCGAAUUUGGG